rnacentral:rRNA from 1 species
UACGAAGGGGGGCUAGCGUUGUUCGGAAUCACUGGGCGUAAAGCGCACGUAGGCGGAUUUUUAAGUCAGGGGUGAAAUCCCGAGGCUCAACCUCGGAACUGCCUUUGAUACUGGAGAUCUUGAGUCCGGAAGAGGUAAGUGGAACUGCGAGUGUAGAGGUGAAAUUCGUAGAUAUUCGCAAGAACACCAGUGGCGAAGGCGGCUCACUGGUCCGGUACUGACGCUGAGGUGCGAAAGCGUGGGGAGCGAACAGG